UACGAAGGGGGCUAGCGUUGUUCGGAAUUACUGGGCGUAAAGCGCGCGCAGGCGGUUGUUCAAGUCAGGUGUGAAAGCCUUGAGCUCAACUCAAGAAAUGCACUUGAUACUGGAUGACUAGAGGACCGGAGAGGAUAGUGGAAUUCCCAGUGUAGUGGUGAAAUACGUAGAGAUUGGGAAGAACACCCGUGGCGAAGGCGGCUCUCUGGGACGGUACUGACGCUGAGACGCGAAAGCGUGGGGAGCGAACAGG
rnacentral:rRNA from 1 species